CCUUGGCGCGUUGAAGCGCUCAGCGACAACCCACCGCGUAGCCUUGGGCCUAAUCGGUAAUCUAGGCAGGCCCAUCGCUUAGGCGGAUCCAGGUGUGCGCCUAAGCGCGAUGAAGCAGAGAAAAGCAGCGAGGAAGCGGCGCAAGGCAGAGCAAGGCGGACCGGAGAUGAAACGAGAGAGGUUGCAAGGCUGGGAGGGAAGGUGGCGAGAAGAUCGCGAGAAGAUGGAGAAGAUUGCGGGGAGUUUGCUGGCUAGAGGAAAGGAAAGAUUAGGCGGCUUUGGAUAUAUAUACACACAAAAGGGGCGGCGACUCGAUCUAUUCCGGCGUCGCUUCGUCCUCCGGCCGCCGAGACAAAGAUUCACCCCAUCCUCUCACCACACAGCCAUGACUUGUUCCUCCUCGCCAUCCGUUUGCUCGACCACAAUCUGUGGUUCGGUCUUCUUCCCUGCUGGGCGAAUCCAAGAUUGCAGCGCAGGGGGUGCCACUAUUUUUUUGCAUAGAUAUCACAAUUUAAGUGUCAUUUGUACUCGACAACUCAUACGACGAGGAAGUUAAAGAGGGCUGGUCAUAGCUAGCGCCUAAAGAAACAAGGGAAGAACCCACUGGUCUGAAGGGUGUCCGGUACAAAUGCAAGAACAACAUUCCAGGAAGAGAAUGUCCUUAAGAUAAAGUCAGAUGAUGUGGGAUGGGAGUAUGGGAGUCUAGCUGAUGCUUCCAACAAGGAUAAAGUGAAGAGUAUGUUUUGUAACCAUGUGAGCAUUGGAGGUGUUUAUCAUCACAAGCAGCAUGUGGCUCAUGUUAGUAAUGUUGUGGUCAAAUGCAAGAAAAGCUCUCAGGAAGCUAAAGAUAGGUGCUAGAAAUCUCUUGAGGAGGCAUCGAAUAAAAGAAGGGAAAAGACUACACGUGAGCAAGAGCUCAGACAAAGUGUGAACAUUUCUCGCAUUGGAGAUGAUGAAGCUACAUGUAUGGAAAGCGCAGAGCCACACAAGUUAGGUCCCAUUGACAAGUGGGCGCGACCUAUUGAUCCUAAAUUGACUCAUGCUGAAGCCUUGCAUCAACAGAAGAUAAACAAGGAACUCCGGAAAAAGAGAACACAUGAAGUGCAACAAUAUGAGGGCUAGAUGGGUGUACAAUCAUGCUAUACCAUUCAAUGCUUGUAACAACGAUGAUUUCAAGUUAAUGUGUGAAGCCAUUGGGAGCUUUGGUCCUGGAUUUGAACCGCCAUCUAAACAUGACCUUCGAGAGACUUUGCUGAGUGAGGAACAUGCAAGAGUGAAAAGUUUGCUGCAAGAACAUGAUGCUGAAAAGAUGAAGAAUGGCUGCUCCAUUAUGACUGAUGCUUGGCCAGAUAGGAAGAGGAGAAGCAUAAUGAACUUGUGCACAAACAGUGUCGAUGGUUCUAAUUUUAUAAGGUCGAGUGAGAUGUCGGAUGUAUCGCACACAAGUGAAGUCAUCUUCCAAUUAGUGGAUGAAGCAAUUGAGGAAGUAGGCCCUGAACAUGUGGUGCAGGUAGUGACGGAUAAUGCUUCUAAUAACAUGGGAGCAAAGAAUAUGUUGCUGGAGAAGAGGCCAAACAUGUUUUGGAGCUCUUGUGCGAUGCACACCAUUAACUUGAUGCUGCAAGGAAUUGCCAACCUACCAAGGUUUAGUAAGGUACUCAAAAAAGCAAAAGCAUUCACUAUCUUUGUUUAUGGGCACACACGGACCUUGGACUGCAUGAGGCACUUCUCUUUAGGGAAAGAGAUCAUAAGGCCAGGGAUCACUAGGUUUGCUUCUGCUUAUCUAACUUUGGAAAGCCUUCUGGACAAAAAGGAUCAACUCAGCAAGAUGGUGGUUGAUGGUAGAUUGGAUAAGUUGAGAGAAGUUAAAUCAAAAAAGGGAAAGGCAGCCUGAAUGUCUUUGAGCCUUUGGUAAAAGUCCUUCGUUUGGUUGCUCGGGAUGUCAAUCCAUCUAUGGGUUUUGUUUAUGGAGAAAUAGUUAAGGCAAAGAAAUAGAUCAAGGAGGUCUAUGGCAAUGUGAAGUCACGUUACAAAGAUGUGAUUAAUAUUGUUGAGAAAAAGAUGAAAGAUCGACUUGACUCUCCAUUGCACUUGGCUAUGUACUUGCUGAAUCCAUAUUAUAGUUAUGUCGAUACUAAUAUUUUUUAUGAUGGAACAAUAACGGAAGGGUUCAUCAGCUGUGUGGAGACCUUUUAUUAUGGUGAUGAUGACAAGCAAGAUCAAGCUAUCAAUUUUGAAUUAAAGAAAUUCCAUAAUAGAGAAGGGUCAUUUGCAAAGAAGCUUGCGAGGAGUUGUUAGGAUUUUGAUUAUAAUGCAGGCAUGCAUUGUUAUUUUGUGAAGUCAACUUAUUCAAUAUAUGCUUAGAGUUUCUGCAAUACAUUGUUAACUUGAUUCUCUGCUCUCACUCAUAGCAUCUUGGUGGAGCCUCUAUGGAACUGAAGCACCGACUCUACAAAGGAUGGUUGUGAGAAUACUCUCAUUGACCUCAAGUUCUCCGGCCUGUGAAAGAAAUUGGAGUACCUUUGAAAGUAUUCAUACAUAGAAAAGAAAUAGGCUAACUACAGAACAUCUCAACUCUCUUGUACUUGUACAAUUAAACUCAAGAAUUAUGGUUAAGAAGCAAAUGAUCAAGGAGAAGAAGAUCAUUGAUGUCCUCUUAUCUGCCGAGACAGCUGAAGCUCAAUUUUUUCUUUUCUAGGGUGGAGAUGAUUAUGCAGAAGUCGUCUAUAGGGAUGACGAUGAUGAGAUGGAUAGUACAGAGAUGCGAGGAAGUGGCAUUGGAGAGGCAAUGGGAGGCGAUGAAUUUCUUGAGCCACGUAGAAGUGCAAGACUAAGACAACUUUAUGAAGAAGAAGAAUUUGAUUCUGAAGAAGAGGAGUUUGAUGAUGAGGAGGAGAUGCAUUUAGAGGAUGAGAAUGACUAUAUUGAUAAGUGAGGAGAUCCAAAUGCAUGGGUGUCCUUUGUUAAGUACCUUUUCUUUAUCUUGUAUGUCUUUGUCAUUAUGUGUUGAACCGUCUGUGUGUGUGUUCUUGUGGAAUUUCCCCUUUUUGAUUUGUGAGACAAGUCUUCCAAAUAAGAUUCUAGAAAUUAAGAACUUCAUUUUGAAGUGUGAAUUAUUGGACAUAUAAUCUAUAUUGCUAUGCCAAUUGGGUCUUGCGUGAA